AUACGGAGGAUGCAAGCGUUAUCCGGAUUUAUUGGGGUUAAAGGGUGCGUAGGCUGUUCGGAAAGUCAGGGGUGAAAGCCCGGCGCCUAACGCCGGAACUGCCUUUGAUACUUCCGAGCUGGAAUACGGAUGCCGUGGGAGGAAUGAGUAGUGUAGCGGUGAAAUGCAUAGAUAUUACUCAGAACACCGAUUGCGAAGGCAUCUCACGAAUCCGUCAUUGACGCUGAGGCACGAAAGCGUGGGGAUCAAACAGGAUUAGAUACCCUGGUAGUCCACGCAGUAAACGAUGAUGAUUAACCGUCGGCGAUACACAGUCGGUGGCCAAGCGAAAGCGAUAAGUCAUCCACCUGGGGAGUACGUUCGCAAGAAUGAAACUCAAAUGAAUUGACGGGG
rnacentral:rRNA from 1 species